GACGAACGCUGGCGGCGUGCUUAACACAUGCAAGUCGAACGGAAAGGCCCUGCUUUUGUGGGGUGCUCGAGUGGCGAACGGGGGAGUAACACGUGAGUAACCUGCCCUUGACUGUGGGAUAACUUCAGGAAACUGGGGCUAAUACCGGGUAGGAGCUCCUGCUGCAUGGUGGGGGUUGGAAAGUUUCGGUGGUUGGGGAUGGACUCGCGGCUGAUCAGCUUGUUGGUGGGGUAGUGUCUUACCAAGGCUUUGACGGGUAGCCGAGCUGAGCGGGUGACCGGCCACAUUGGGACUGAGAUGCGGCCCAGACUCCUACGGGAGGCAGCAGUGGGGAAUAUUGCACUAUGGGCGGAAGCCUGAUGCAGCCACGCCGCGUGCGGGAUGACAGCCUUCGGGUUGUAAACCGCUUUCGCCUGUGACGAAGCGUGAAUGACGGUAAUGGGUAAAGAAGCCCCGGCUAACUACGUG
rnacentral:rRNA from 1 species